UCCUGUUGGCAGCCACUGCUUCAAAGAAUAUGGCACUUCAAACCAGGAGUUAGAAGUCAGGAUUCUCCCCAAAGUUGGCUACUACCUGAUCUUGUAAGCACAGAAAAGUCACUAAGCUUAUCUCCUAUCCCUCCCAACUAGAAAAUUCUCCAAUUACCAGUUGUUCCUCAGGUCCAAGUUCUCGCUCCUCCAGUCCCCCGGCAUUACCUUGUUACUCAGGUGGACUUGUCACAGAAUGGGGACCUGCACCUUUGCUGAUGGAUUCCACCAGCUUUUCUUCCUCUCCCUGUUACUCGCCAGGUGCACUCAUUUUUCUCUGCAUUCACUUUUCCCCGCAUCCUUCAGUCAGUCAUUUCAGUAAUAUUUUUUUAAGUGUCAACUCUGUGCUAGACUUAAUUUCUGCGUAUAAAUUACUAAGAAAAAUAGUUGUAUUUUCUGUCACCAGUAGAGCUCAUAGUCCAACGUGAGUGUGACAGACAAUAAGCAAGAAAAAUGUGAAAAAUUAUAAAGUGAAAAGUGCUUCAAAUGAAUCCAACAUGUUAACAAUCUCUCCUUAUUCCCAUCACGUUCGCUGAAGCUUGAGUUGCAGGUUCUGCCACUUAAUGUAAAUUUGCCUUGAAUUUGAGACCCAAAUAAUCCUGGCAUCUUCUGAUUGCAGAAUCUACACUUACACAGCUAGGAUCUUUGAAAGACGCUUCAAGAUGAGAAAUUUAUGAGAAGACUGAGCAGGACUGUGGACAUCUCUUAGGUCUCCUGAUGUUCAAAGCAUAUUAUGUGUAGGAUAUGUUUGGAAAUAGGUCACAACGCAGACGUGGAAUGCCAGCCUUCCUGCUUGAGGUGCCAUGUGCGACGUGAACCGUCCUACAACUUUGGAAGAUUAGUCCUGAGCUUACAUCUACCACCAAUCCUCCUCUUUUUGCUGAAGAAGACUGGCCCUGAGCUAACAUCCGUGCCCAUCUUCCUCUACUUUAUAUGUGGGACGCCUCCCACAGCAUGGCUUGACACCCGGGAUCCAAACCAGUGAACCCCAGGCUGCCAAAGCAGAAUGUGCGAACUUAAUCCCUGCGUCACCAGGCUGGCCCCUUGAGUGAUUUUUUGAAGAUUCCUUUAUGUUGUCCUUGCUCUUUUCCAAGAUGGCAGCCAAGAGUAUGAGGAGAGAGACCUGCCCCUAAAUUUGAAACGAUGGACAACUUGACCCUGAAAAAGCCUUGCUGUAAUUGAAAAUCCUGUUUGCUGUCCAAAGGGUGAGUGGUUUGUAACUAAUGAAACACCACCAAGAGUAGAAGCAACUUAUAUACCAAGAACAUUUGGAUUUGUAGAAGUUUUCGACACAUAGACUUCACUACAGUGCAAAUUUAUAACCCAAGCGAAGCAAGAAACUGAAUUACUUAUUUGUCUAGGCAAGUCAAAUCAACAAUUUAAUUCUAAAAACCAGUAAUUUGGAGCUGAUGUGUUCACACAAGAUCCUAUGUAUGUAGAUGUGUUACAUUCUCUGCAUGGAACCUACUUAUAUAAAUUAGGCUGCAUAGAUUAUCUUGCUAUUUUAUUAUUAUUACUUUAAUUCUGAGAUUCCUCAAAAUUUUCUUUACUAAAUUUGAAUCUAAAUUCUUUUAGCUCUUUAAAAUAUAACUGAAGCUUUCAUAGUAUCAUCACAGAGAGCAUUAUUUGAAAGCCUAAAAAUUUAGUUCAGUCAUUUCAAAAGAAGAUUUUAAUGGGGACUUAUUUCUUGGUAAAUUUGACAUUCUGAAAUAGAAACUAUUUUAACAUUUUUCAUGAGUCUCAAGUGGUAUAAUGUCAGGGGUGCCAUUCAGGUAUUUGUGUGGUCAAAACUUCAGGUUGCUUAUGGAGACCUGAGGACUAUUUUAAAAAAUAAAUCUUUUCAAGAAUAAUCUACUGUCAUGGAAUCCUAGAAGAGGAAUAAGGCCCCCUGAAAUAUUUGUUGAGUGAGUUAAUGUCUUGAAGAUUUCCUUUUACAAUCAUAAUUGUAUGAAGUAUUCAAAACUUUUCUUAUGCCCUAGUAUCAUCACAAAU
rnacentral:lncRNA from 1 species